rnacentral:rRNA from 1 species
GAUGAACGCUGGCGGCGUGCCUAAUACAUGCAAGUCGAGCGAACGGACGAGAAGCUUGCUUCUCUGAUGUUAGCGGCGGACGGGUGAGUAACACGUGGAUAACCUACCUAUAAGACUGGGAUAACUUCGGGAAACCGUAGCUAAUACCGGAUAAUAUUUUGAACCGCAUGGUUCAAAAGUGAAAGACGGUCUUGCAGUCACUUAUAGAUGGAUCCGCGCUGCAUUAGCUAGUUGGUAAGGUAACGGCUUACCAAGGCAACGAUGCAUAGCCGACCUGAGAGGGUGAUCGGCCACACUGGAACUGAGACACGGUCCAGACUCCUACGGGAGGCAGCAGUAGGGAAUCUUCCGCAAUGGGCGAAAGCCUGACGGAGCAACGCCGCGUGAGUGAUGAAGGUCUUCGGAUCGUAAAACUCUGUUAUUAGGGAAGAACAUAUGUGUAAGUAACUGUGCACAUCUUGACGGUACCUAAUCAGAAAGCCACGGCUAACUACGUG